CACUGCAGGCUAGCAACUGCCAAAUAAAUAUCAAGCUCUCUUCAGCAAAGCUGUUCAACAGAAACCUCCAUUCCACUUAAAGUAACACAAGCAAACACUGAAAUGAACUCAAUCCAACAUGUGACAGACAAGUACAGUUAUACACAGCACAAUUGUCUUCAAGGAUAACAACCUGUAAUGCCUAACAAAUGGUAAAACCCCAAAAUGGAAACUAGAACUUCAUAGGUCCAUGGACUCUAUUCCUUCACUUCCCACCAUCCCUAGCAUGUGAAAAGUCCAGUGGACUCGUCUGCAGCAGAGAAAACCUGUAUACAAGUACCAUUGUAAGCUGCAAAGCAGGAACCUUUUAACCUGCAAAAACUUGGAAUGCAUAAGAUUAAUCUUCUAAGAAUGACAAACUCUAACAGUAUCCUGGAAAGAGAGAAGCCUCGAUACUGUAGGCAAUUAACAAAGCUAAGAUCGGCUUAUAAUUAUAGAAGGGAUAAAUUUUCAACUCACAAUCAUCCUAUAAAAUGCUUCAUCUUUAUUUCAGGAAGAGUAAACCUAGGAGGAAAGGGAAAACCAUUUGACCAUAGGACCUAAAGCUAAAAAAACCAUUUUAUCUAUUUCGAUAAGGAAAACAGUCAUUUACCAAUUAACAUGUGAUAUUUUACUGCUGUUUGGGGUUACCUAAAUUAGAAAAAUAGUAGUCAGCAAGAGACAGGAAGAAAAAGACACUGGAAGAUUAACAUGAGAUUUUGA
rnacentral:lncRNA from 1 species